AAUAUAUGAUGAAUAAAAAAUACGAUUAACUCACGAGUCCUGAGUAUAAAUAGAACUCAACACGACUCAGUUGAGCGUGAGUUAAAAAUGAAAU